UUUAGCCCAUCACAACUCACGCACGCGCACGUGUUAAGCCAUCCGCUAACCCUAACGAUGCAAAGCAGCUGGCGCAGCACUACCGUGAGCCGCCGCCUCCAAGGCUCCAACCAUGGCGGCUCCUCUUUCUCCUCCCUAGCUUUCGGAGGUAGCUCAGACAGCAGAUCCACCAGUAGCUUGGAUGAUUGAUUGGAAUGUGUAAUGCGAGUAAGAUGAGCCCAUCAGCCCAGAAAGCAUUGGGUUAUUCAGUUUCUGGCCAUUAUCCUCUGCUAGGAGAAAUUCAUAAACUUACAGGCAAUUUUGGUACCACAGUUAACAUUCCUUUACUGUAACAUGAUCGGCCAUCCAUUUCAUGGUCCAUGAAUUCUGAAAUCUGGCUUUAGCAACUGAAGCCUUCCUGGCUUCCUGCCUGAGGUUCCCGGAAUGUAUAUCAUGUUUACUGAGAUGGUCAUUGCACUUUGCAGUGCG